rnacentral:rRNA from 1 species
UACAGAGGGUGCGAGCGUUGUCCGGAAUCACUGGGCGUAAAGGGCGCGUAGGUGGCGAGCCAAGUCCAUGGUGAAAGCUCGAUGCUCAACAUCGAGUCGGCCACGGAUACUGGUGCGCUUGAGCACUGUAGAGGCUAAUGGAAUUCCGGGUGUAGCGGUGGAAUGCGUAGAGAUCCGGAAGAACACCGGUGGCGAAGGCGGUUAGCUGGGCAGUUGCUGG